rnacentral:rRNA from 1 species
UACGAAGGGGGCUAGCGUUGUUCGGAAUUACUGGGCGUAAAGGGCGCGUAGGCGGCGUGUCAAGUCAGGCGUGAAAGCCCCGGGCUCAACCUGGGAAUGGCCGUUGAAACUGGCGAACUGGAGUGUGGCAGAGGGGGGUGGAAUUCCGCGUGUAGCAGUGAAAUGCGUAGAGAUGCGGAGGAACACCGAUGGCGAAGGCAGCCCCCUGGGCUAACACUGACGCUCAGGCACGAAAGCGUGGGGAGCAAACAGG